rnacentral:rRNA from 1 species
AUUGAACGCUGGCGGCAGGCCUAACACAUGCAAGUCGAGCGGAUGAAGGGAGCUUGCUCCUGGAUUCAGCGGCGGACGGGUGAGUAAUGCCUAGGAAUCUGCCUGGUAGUGGGGGAUAACGUCCGGAAACGGGCGCUAAUACCGCAUACGUCCUGAGGGAGAAAGUGGGGGAUCUUCGGACCUCACGCUAUCAGAUGAGCCUAGGUCGGAUUAGCUAGUUGGUGGGGUAAAGGCCUACCAAGGCGACGAUCCGUAACUGGUCUGAGAGGAUGAUCAGUCACACUGGAACUGAGACACGGUCCAGACUCCUACGGGAGGCAGCAGUGGGGAAUAUUGGACAAUGGGGGAAAGCCUGAUCCAGCCAUGCCGCGUGUGUGAAGAAGGUCUUCGGAUUGUAAAGCACUUUAAGUUGUGAGGAAGGGCAGUAAGUUAAUACCUUGCUGUUUUGACGUUACCAACAGAAUAAGCACCGGCUAACUUCGUG